rnacentral:rRNA from 2 species
GGACUACCCGGGUUUCUAAUCCUGUUUGCUCCCCUAGCUUUCGUGCCUCAGUGUCAGGAGUUGUCCAGGGACUCGCCUUCGCCACUGGUGUUCCUCUCGAUAUCUACGCAUUUCACUGCUACACCGAGAAUUCCAGUCCCCCCUCCAACCCUCGAGCAAGGUAGUUUCCAAUGCCAUUUCGGAGUUGAGCUCCGAGCUUUCACAUCCGACUUACCUCACCACCUACGCACCCUUUACGCCCAGUGAAUCCGAACAACGCUCGGGACCUCUGUAUUACCGCGGCGGCUGGCAC